ACCCAUCAUGCAUUUCACCGGAAUAGCAUGCGGAGAGGACGAGGAGACAGACAUGGCCUUACUCCGCGCUAGGAUGUCGUGCCAAUCCACUGCCAUCCUGUCACAAGCAGACCUGUAUCCCACCUAGUAUGCAGACACAAAGAACUAAAAUGUCUUUGUGAAUUGUUGCACGGACAAUUUCCAGACAAACCGUGUUAAUCACGGAUAAGGCAGUUGUGACGAAAGUUCUGAGAUGUUGCAGACCAUGAAGACUGGACAAUCUUUCUGCAUCAGCCACGUGGUAGACACGUGGAGCUGGGGAGGCAGCCUAGGCUAGAGGCGUGUGCUGGCUUAUCUCAGGAAGUCAUCUCAGAUGGUGAAUGAGUCACUGCUGCUGUGGUGAAAA